GAAGUACUCCCUCCGUCCGGAAAUACUUGUCGGGGAAAUAGAUGUAUCUAGACGUAUUUUAAUUCUAGAUACAUCCAAUUUUAUUCAUUGGUACGACAAGUAUUUCCGGACGGAGGGAGUAUGAA
rfam:Triticum aestivum genome assembly, contig: Triticum_aestivum_CS42_TGACv1_scaffold_329508_4BS